GUCGGGGAUAACAGAGGGAAACCGCUGCUAAUACCGGAUGAACCUACGGGUGAAAGAUUAAUUGCCAGAAGAUGAGCUCGCGUCCGAUUAGCUAGUUGGCAGGGUAAUGGCCUACCAAGGCGGCGAUCGGUAGCUGGUCUGAGAGGACGAUCAGCCACACUGGGACUGAGACACGGCCCAGACUCCUACGGGAGGCAGCAGUGGGGAAUUUUCCGCAAUGGGCGAAAGCCUGACGGAGCAAUACCGCGUGAGGGAGGAAGGCUCUUGGGUUGUAAACCUCUUUUCUCAAGGAAGAAGCAAUGACGGUACUUGAGGAAUCAGCAUCGGCUAACUCCGUGCCAGCAGCCGCGGUAAUACGGAGGAUGCAAGCGUUAUCCGGAAUGAUUGGGCGUAAAGCGUCCGCAGGUGGCAAUGCAAGUCUGCUGUCAAAGGCUGGGGCUUAACUCCAGACAGGCAGUGGAAACUGCAUCAGCCUAGAGUGCGGUAGGGGCAGAGGGAAUUCCCGGUGUAGCGGUGAAAUGCGUAGAGAUCGGGAAGAACACCAGUGGCGAAAGCGCUCUGCUGGACCUGCACUGACACUCAGGGACGAAAGCUAGGGGAGCGAAUGGGAUUAGAUACCCCAGUAGUCCUAGCCGUAAACGAUGGAUACUAGGUGUUGUGAGUAUCGACCCUCACAGUGCCGCAGCUAACGCGCUAAGUAUCCCGCCUGGGGAGUACGCACGCAAGUGUGAAACUCAAAGGAAUUGACGGGGGCCCGCACAAGCGGUGGAGUAUGUGGUUUAAUUCGAUGCAACGCGAAGAACCUUACCAGGGCUUGACAUGUCCGGAACCUUUGGGAAACCAGAGGGUGCCUUCGGGAGCCGGAACACAGGUGGUGCAUGGCUGUCGUCAGCUCGUGUCGUGAGAUGUUGGGUUAAGUCCCGCAACGAGCGCAACCCUCGUUUUUAGUUGCCAGCAUUCAGUUGGCACUCUGAAGAGACUGCCGGUGACAAACCGGAGGAAGGUGGGGAUGACGUCAAGUCAGCAUGCCCCUUACGUCCUGGGCUACACACGUACUACAAUGCUUCAGACAAAGGGCAGCUAGCCAGCGAUGGUCUGCUAAUCCCAUAAACUGAGGCUCAGUUCAGAUCGCAGGCUGCAACUCGCCUGCGUGAAGGCGGAAUCGCUAGUAAUCGCAGGUCAGCAUACUGCGGUGAAUACGUUCCCGGGCCUUGUACACACCGCCCGUCACACCAUGGGAGCUGGCCAUGCCCGAAGUCGUUACUCCAACCUGCAAAGGAGGAGGACGCCGAAGGUGGGGCUGGUGACUGGGGUGAAGUCGUAACAAGGUAGCCGUACCGGAAGGUGUGGCUGGAUCACCUCCUUUUUAGGGAGACCUACUGUGACAUUUGAACAUCAUAUUUCAAAAUAAUAGUUCAAAGGGCAGUUAUCCCAAGGUCGAGCGAGAGUAAAAGUGUGUGAAAAAUUUCGGCUUUCAAACUAUGAUUCGGUUCGAUUAGUGGGCUAUUAGCUCAGGUGGUUAGAGCGCACCCCUGAUAAGGGUGAGGUCCCUGGUUCAAGUCCAGGAUGGCCCACCUAAAUAACGUACCUAAAUAACGUAAGCUAACCGAGUUACAGCCAGCUUUGCAAAGUUUGCUUGCCUAACAAUUAGCUCAAAUGAGAACAGAAUUCAGCACCUAAUCCACUGGGAGUGGAAAGUAUGCUGGAUGUCUUUCCAGCCAGAACCUUGAAAACUGCAUAGCAACUGUCAAAUGUUUUGAUUAAACGUGGUAAUACACGUUUGAUGCAAAGCAGGUAGACACCAAUGAUUUGCAAUUAGUUGGGGAAA
rnacentral:rRNA from 1 species